CUGGAAUGAUGAUGCUUAGCCAAAUCAGAUAUGUGCUCCAAGAGGCAUUUUUCUGUUGAACCUUGAGUUCAGCAGAUGAUGUGCCCUCUUGUUGUAGUGCGUCUUAGACGAUAUCACAGGGAAUGGUUUUGCCUGACCAGA
rnacentral:snoRNA from 1 species